CUUAGGGUGAGAACCACCUUAUGAACCGUUAGAUUAAUGAGAUGAAGUAACUCACAACCGUUAGAUCACCUCGACUUGUACGCACAAAAAAUUUCCAAUCUAGGGUCGUGCAGCUUCUUUCCAUUUUUGUCAUUUCUCUUUCUCUCUCCUAUUUCGCACUUUCUCUCUCCUAAUUCACAUUCAUUGGAAUACAUCGCAGUAACUUCUUCGUUCUCCGGUUAAGGUCUUCGCAAUACUGAACUGUGAUGUGAUAAUGGAGCGAAGAAAGGGUCUUUCUGAAUGCUUCAGACUGAUGUACUUGUUUAUAGAAAUCUGCUGGUUGGGUUUCAGCACAUUAUCUUGAACUUUCAGCUUUGUAGCAAAGAACUUAUGAGAAGCUUCGGACUAAUUAAGAACCUUCUUGUGGUUUGCUUA